rnacentral:rRNA from 1 species
UACGGGGGGAGCAAGCGUUGUUCGGAUUUACUGGGCGUAAAGGGCGCGUAGGCGGCGCGACAAGUCACUUGUGAAAUCUCUGGGCUCAACCCAGAACGGUCAACUGAUACUGUGCGACUAGAGUGCGGAAGGGGCAACUGGAAUUCUCGGUGUAGCGGUGAAAUGCGUAGAUAUCGAGAGGAACACCUGCGGCGAAGGCGGGUUGCUGGGCUGAUACUGACGCUGAGGCGCGAAAGCUAGGGGAGCGAACGGG